UUUCACCUGAUGUCUUUGGCCAUGCAGGACCAAUAUUUGCUUCCUUGACAACAAAUUAUUUUGAAUCUUCCAGGGACCAGAUUCUGUCAUAUUCCCUCAUUCUAUAUUCAGACAGGGAGAAGUGUACAGCAACAAGAGCUCCUGCCAACCUAGAAUGAAUGCUUGUUCACCCUUUACAGUGCUUGAGAAGAAGUUCAUACUACAGAGUAGAAUUCAAAACAGCUUGUUGGUUGAUCGGGGAGCCAUUUAAAAUUAUCAUGGUCUCUGUGAAGUGCCUAAAGCUCACUCAAGAGAAACACCACACUGUUUUACCUACCAAAUAUUUUACAUCUGACCUGGUUUGCUAAAAGCUACUGACUGUCAUGACUAUUCACUGGACAACACUGAAGGCUCAAAAGAGUCCUUGACUCAACAAAGAGACCUCAACUUUCCAUGAAGGAUCAAGGAAGAGGAAACAUCUUUUUUUUAUUAGGACUUAGCUAAUGACAGAUAAGCUGCCACUCUGUUUUGUAAAAUGGGCUGAUGUAAGAGGCUUUGCCAAGGAAGGUACUUUCAGGAGUUCAUUCUGCACCAUCUGUUCAAACUGAGAGAAUGCGUUUCCUUGCAGGAAGCUAACAGGGAUGCCUGAGGAGUGCUUACCACUCAUAAAGGUCUUAAAUGUUACUUUUUUUAGUUAGAUUUUGCUGGUUCCACAUUAUAUGGCUGAAUUUAGGCGAUUCUCUUCUCAAUGCAGUAGUCAGGUUGGAUUUCAUUCUGAGUUUCUAACUUUCUACUGGUAAUGUGUAUUCCCCACAUGUGGUCGGAGCAGGCACCUGGUCGUUACAUUUCUUGAUCAAGAUGUAAGUACCUCACAUGGCUAUGUAUUUUAUCUCAGAGCUGGGUCUUACUGGGUUCCCAGGAGGGCCAGCAAGUGACCUCAGCAUUGCACUCCCUGAACACACACACACACACACACACACACGCACACAAUUUAACUGCUGGCACAGCGUCUCGUCUCUGCUUUGGACUAUUGGAACUAAAAACAUAAAUCUGAUGUUGCUGGGACUAAUUAAUAAAAAGUAUAAAUGCAUACUCCUUGGUGGUGCAUGGUGGAGGACAAGAUGUGGAUUGCUCCCUGGUCCUUCUAUAUUUAUCAGUACAGAUGGAGGCUCUCAGUUCACUUCCUCUUAAGAAGACUGUGGGGAUGUGGAAGGUGGAAUGGCUCCAAGCUGACUCAAGGCAGCGUAUGUGGUAUUCCACAGACUGCUGUAUAAAGAGAUGGAAAUUUCAUAUGUUGGGAAACAGUCAGUGAAACUUCUCCCAUUAGGAGUAAGAAGAGGCCAAUUAACUUCACUUGCUACACACAAGUAAAAAGGCUGCCAUCUUUGCAAAUGUGUCAUGCUGUUUUACAAAGUAGUCUGGCCUGACAACAACCUCAGAAGAAUUCCUGAGAAAGAAUGGGUUUUAGCAUCAGGUGAGCCAAAAAUUUUGCUACAGUGUUAAUAUACCUUAUCUGAAAAUAGCCAACUCAGUAUCUUGCUGUAGUACUGAGUUGAUUGAAGCUCACUAGCUUCAACAGUUUGUUAUCCAUAAAGAGACUUGUCAGUAUCAAAUAAAAUAUAACUGGCAUAGGAGUCAAACAGAGAGAAAGAGAAGCACUACACAUCUUUCUAUUACUGAUAUCUAACCUUUGGUUCUCCUACUUAUGAAAAAAAGCAAAACUACAAAUCCAAACCCUGCAAAACCUCCAGCUUUCCCAAGCUGUUAUCUUCCUUUCUGAAGAAAUAGCACCUUCCCUUGGCCUCCUGCUGCUUCAGUUAAUUUUUGGUGAUUUAAAUAUAACUGCAUUGUGUUUGCAAAUAUUAUUUGUUCUAGACAAAACUAAAGUAAUUCCUUCCCAGGGAUAACAGGAAAAACCCAAGAACAAAGCAACUUCAGAAAAACAAGAUUAUUUUUGAUUGCAGCAUGUGAUGGCAGAAGAGGUAGACACCAGAAAUGGGCUGACUGAGGGAUGUGCCAUGUUGUAACAUGCAUAAUUCAUUUUCCAGAUAAUGUAAAACCUCAUAUAUAAUUUUUCUUGAAAAUAAGUAUGAAGAUAAGGAACAUACUUAGGUAAUCCACUCAUGCUGUACACCAGAAGGAGAAGAGAAAUCUAUUCCUCUUUGCAUGGAGGGAAAUGUCUUUGGUGGAUAAACUUUUACUAGCUACAUACCCUAUUAAAUUAAACUGUUUUGAAAACUUUUAGUUAUAUGUAAGAAAGUAUUGUGGCUUUCAGAGGAAGAUUGUGACUUCUCAAAACACUGCUGUGUUUAUUUCUAUAUAUUCAGUAUAAAAAUGACCUUGGAGAUUACCAUUCAAAACCAGUUUAACCGCUUGCACUUUGCUCUGACAGCAUGGAGCACUAGAUCUGCCCAUCUAAAACAUCUCUAAGUUAAAGUGAUCAGAAAUGUGACAGUAUUCAGUUUCAGUUAUGAAUAAAGCAAUAGUCUUUUACA